rnacentral:rRNA from 1 species
GAUCCUGGCUCAGAUUGAACGCUGGCGGCGUGCUUAACACAUGCAAGUCGUACGCGAAAGGGACUUCGGUCCCGAGUAAAGUGGCGCACGGGUGAGUAACACGUGGAUGAUCUGCCUCUAUGAUGGGGAUAACAGUUGGAAACGACUGCUAAUACCGAAUACGCUCAUGAUGAACGUUGUGAGGAAAGGUGGCCUCUGCUUGCAAGCUGUCGCAUAGAG